AGCAGAGCCAGGCUGUGGCACACAGCCUUUCCCAGCUGCUGGUGUUUCAGCUGAGACUAUGCCAUGAAGGGAGCAAUCAACUCCAGCAAAGGGAAGGACAGCAAGCAGAUUAGAGCUGUGGAAGACUUGAAGAGGAAUCAGACAGGAUGAAUCUACAGACACAACAGCUAAUAGAGCCUUGGCUGCCAGACCUAGACUCUUCAAUCAACAGAGACAAGUGACACCCCAAUCAUCCAGCAGCAAGGAAGAAGCUUGUGUUCUGGACAAUUCACCCAUUAGAGUCUGUUUUCUGAGCCCAUUGAGAGGACACAUUUUCUGUUGUGUUGGCAGAGCCUCUGGAAGAGUUCUUCAACCUGAAACUUCCAAGGAAUCUGUUAGGAAACCCAUCACAGCUUCCAGAUAACACGCUGCCAGCUUUAUUAAAAGAGCAAUGCUCGAGCAGGCUUGCACUCGCAUUGCAGUCAUUCUUGGCACUCCUGCUGCUUCCUCCAUCCAAGAAUUCUGCACCGCUCAUUCCACUGGCUGCCUCUUCCUACCAUCCCCACAACGAGUGCACCAAGCACCUCCCAGGAUCACCUGGAGCGCGGGAUUUUGAACUGCUUUUGACAAAGACUCUGAUGUGCUCCCCACUCCUCCCCAGGGAGCUGAGCUGGGCAGCAGCACUCGGAGAGGGUUUUACAGCAGCAGCGUGUGCAGGGUGGCUUCUCAUGGUCCCAGCCUCUCUGAGGUCCCACGUGUCUAACACAACUCCAUCCCCAAGCAUUGGGAUACAGUUAACCAACCAAAUCCCAAGGUUUUUCUUGAAUUUUCCCCAGAUUACUACCAGGGCAAGUUUGCUGCUGCUUCAAAACAAUGUUUCUCUGAUUACAACCUAGGCUGACAAUUAUAGUGAUUUAAACCCUAACUAAUUGUGAAGUACUUUGAUCAUGCUUAGCACAACUUGUGGUUUGUAGGCUGCAAAUAGUUGAAAGGAACUCUUGGGUUCACAAUUUCCUUGAAUAUAAAUUUUAUUUUGAUAUAUAAGGUAUGAUUAAAAUAUUAAAAUAAAGUUUGUGUUUGUUUUUUCC
rnacentral:lncRNA from 1 species